GCCCGUGUAGCUCAGCGGAUAGAGUGUUUGCCUCCUAAGCAAAGGGUCGCCAGUUCGAUCCUGGCCUCGGGCU